AUCCAGAUUGCCGAGACAUCAAACUCUUUCCUGAAUCGAAUGCUGAACAGAGACACCAUCACAAGAAUAACAAUAAAAAUGAUGCAUAUUACUGACCGGCCUGAAUAUAGAGGAGAUUUACCCCGAGACAAAUAGUUUUAUCACAUACGAUGGAUCGAUGACCAUCCCACCGUGCUUUGAGACGGCCACGUGGAUCCUGAUGAACAAGCCGGUACAUCACACGGAUGCAGAUGCACUCCUUACGGCUGCUGAGCCAGAACCAGCCGUCUCAGAUCUUUCUGAGCAUGAGCGAUAACGUUCGCCCAGUCCAGCCGCUCAACAACCGCUGCAUCCGCACCAACAUCAACUUCAGCAUGCAGGGCAAAGACUGUCCCAACAACAGGGCUCAGAAGCUCCAAUACCGAGUGAACGAGUGGUUGCUAAAGUAGCCUCCCUUGGAUGAGCAUGGAGACAAGUGUCAGAGAUGGAGAGGGGGAGCAGAAGAGGAGGGGAGGAGGGAGAGGGAGAAGAGAAGUGGAACAGGGAUCAAGGCUGCAUCUCAUCUAAGAUUAUUUCAUGACAUUGUAUAGAGAAAACCAACACGGGACAUUAUCAAAAUAAGAGACUUUGCGCUGCCAGCAAAGAGACUUCUUUUCAUACAUUGAGAACUGGUUGAACCCCCUGAUCUUAACACAUGCUAAUUAGCCCUCAACCCCCCAACCCCGUAUAUCUAUAUGAAACAUUUUGAUACCAAUACUUUUUUUGGGAGAAAAAACCAUCUUGAAAACACACUAAAAAAACAAAACAUGGAAGCAUUUAUUUGAUAGCCUCCUAACCGAUAGGACUAAGGGGGGACUUUGAAGCCUUUGUACAUAAAGAUGUUGCUAUUAAUGGGAAAAUCCAAGGACUAAGUCACUGCCCCCCCUUCCCCCCCCACACCCACCCGGUCAAGAUGAAGUGGUCGACAAGAAUUUUGCCCAGACCCGUCAUUUAAAAAAAAAAAAAAAAAAAAAAAAAAAAAAUCACCAACAAGGCAUGCAAACAGCAAAACCAAGAGAGAGGGAUCGCAGCCUUGCCUUGUCAUUCUCAAAAAAACUAAAGUCAUGUCAUGGAAGAUGAGCAAAUAUUUACAGGCUUUCUAUAGCCGAGAGCAACCAGAGUGUCUUGGCCUUGUUUGUACAUAUUAUAAUUAUCAAUACUGCUGAAAAAUGAAUAUGUAAAGAAAAGUAACGAAUAAACAUUCAAAAGAUAUAUUAAGAGGAUUUAAAAAAAAAAAA